rnacentral:lncRNA from 1 species
UUUUUAUGGGGGGCUAGGAUGAAAUUUGAAAAAAAUAGGCAGGACAGGAGUUCUGAGUAAAAAAAAAAGGCAGGAUGAGACACUUUGCAAAAAAAAAAGGCAGGAUGACAAUUUAUCAAAAAAAAGUCAGGACAAACUAAUAAAAAAAGGCAGGACCGAAUAGAGUGAAAAAUAAAAAGCAGAUGAGAUUACAACUAAAAAAAAAAUGCAGGACAAAAUUUUUCAUCCUAGCCCCC